rnacentral:rRNA from 1 species
AUUGAACGCUGGCGGCAGGCCUAACACAUGCAAGUCGAACGAGUGGCGGACGGGUGAGUAAAGUCUGGGAAACUGCCCGAUGGAGGGGGAGAACUACUGGAAAAGGUAGCUAAUACCGCGUACCAUAGGAUGUGCCCAGAUGGGAUUAGCGUGUAGGUGAGGUAACGGCUCACAUAGGCGACGCACCCUAGCAGGUCUGAGAGGAUGACCAGCCACCCUGGAACUGCGACACGGUCCAGACGCCUACGGGAGGCAGCAGGGGGGAAUAUUGCACAAUGGGCGCAAUCCUGAUGCAGCCAUGCCGCGUGUAUGAAGAAGGCCUUCGGGUUGUAAAGUACUUUCAGCGGGUAGGCGUUACCCGCAGAAGAAGCACCGGCUAACUCCGUGCCAGCAGCCGCGGUAAUUC